rnacentral:tRNA from 1 species
UGCAGGGUGGCUCAGUGGAAAGAGCACGGGCUUGGGAGUCAGAGGUCAUGGGUUCGAAUCCCCACCCUGCCA